GACGACACUCCAGCCGGCAAUUUAUGACCCAUUCGCGAACUCGCGUGCAUCUCGCCACGCGCGUCCUAAUUCAUUCUUUUUCCCUCAACUGGAGCUGGAAAUGCGGUUUCUCUAGUUGCCCUUAGUGGUGAAGGCUCGGCCGCAGACGGAGCAGACGAAGGGCUUCUCGCCGGUGUGCGUGCGCUCGUGGAUCUGAAGGGCGCUGGCCGAGGAAAAGUUCUUCCCGCAGGCGCUGCAGUUGUGGUGCUUGGCAGCCCGGCGAGGAGGCGCCGGCGCCAGCAGGGCGGCUAUUCCGGGGCCGGUGACUGACGGAUGCUGCAAAAAGUUCCCGGAAGUCAGUAUUCUGUGCAGGCGAUAGAGGUGGCGUCGCAGGGGCGCUAGUGGUGCCG